UGGCUCAGAUGGUAAAGCGUCUGCCUACAAUGCGGGAGACCCGGGUUCAACCCCUGGG
rnacentral:tRNA from 1 species